CCUACGGGAGGCUGCAGUCGAGGAUCUUCGGCAAUGGGCGCAAGCCUGACCGAGCGACGCCGCGUGUGCGAUGAAGGCCUUCGGGUUGUAAAGCACUGUCGAGGGGGAGGAAAGCCCGCGAGGGCCUGACCUAUCCCUGGAGGAAGCACGGGCUAAGUUCGUGCCAGCAGCCGCGGUAAGACGAACCGUGCGAACGUUGUUCGGAUUCACUGGGCUUAAAGGGCGCGUAGGCGGCUCGCCAGGUCAGGGGUGAAAUCUUUCGGCUCAACCGGAAAACGGCCCCUGAUACCGGCGGGCUGGAGGGAGGUAGGGGCGGAUGGAACUUCCGGUGGAGCGGUGAAAUGCGUAGAUAUCGGAAGGAACGCCGGUGGCGAAAGCGAUCCGCUGGACCUCUGCUGACGCUGAGGCGCGAAAGCCAGGGGAGCAAACGGGAUUAGAUACCCUUGUAGUC
rnacentral:rRNA from 1 species